GCUGGACCAUGGGUAAUGUAGUUGUUUACCUGGAAUUCCAUUAUUAAACAUGAUCAUUAAACAAUGAAGUUGAAAUAAUGUGGACUGAUGGCUUCAAUGGAAGCAUAUCGAUGAACAACCUCGGAGCUCAAGGGGAAAGCUUCAGAAGACUUUUUUACCAGUUCCGAGUGGGAGUAUCAACAAUUUUGCUAUUUAUUCCUGAAACCUGUGCAGCAAUCUACCAGGUUUUAAAAGAGAAAUACCUAAAGUGCCCAGACACAGUGGAAUAGUGGCAGCAAGUAGCUGAUAGAUUCCAGGCUAAGUGGAACUUCCCAAACAGCCAAUGCAACAACACAAGCCAAGCAGCUCCGGGAUGAACUAUGCCGUUACUUUAAUUCUGACAUCGGUGUGGUGCAUUUUCAGUGGUGCAAAAUAUGGGAAGCGUGUAUAUGUAUGCAAAAUAUAGGAAAUGUGUAAAAU